UAAAUCAAAAGGCAAAUUACAAAACUCCAACAUCUAAUGGUCCAGUCCAUCAUGGCAGCAGGAGUGUCAAGGAGCAGGUCACAUUUCAUCCACAGGCAGGUGGGGAGCACUGAGUGCCUGUGCUCAGCUCUUCAUUUCCUCCAUCUUGUGCAGUCCAGGAUCUCACUGAGGGAAUGGUUCUGCUCAGAGAUAAGGUGUGCCUGAAACCCCUCUAGGCUAGCACCUCUCCAUCCUGCCAGGAUAAUUAACACUGCAAAGCCAGUGCACCAGAUCUGCCACUGUGACACCCACGCCCCAGGCAGGAAGAGAUUCUCGCCAUGGAUGUAAUCUUCAUUAUUUGCUCAUUAGUUUAUUUGAAUUCUUACCUUUGCUUAGAAUAAAUGACAGUGAACAUAAACCCCUGUGCCCUUAUAGGUAACCCCCCAAGAAGUCCAAUAUACACACCAGUCUGUAAAAGACAAUCUUACCAAGUGAUGACAUCACAGUAUCAGAGCGUUGGUCAAGUCCUUGCUCUUCCUGUCUGAAAUGCAAACAGCUGUCUUAUAGUGAGGAGCUCCGUGGAGCUCCCUGCCCUGGGCACAAUGUGGAGCCUGAGCUACAUCCCCUUUUCAUGCUUCUGUGACAACCCCAGCUCCCGGCAAGUGAUUGCUUGGGCCAAAACACCUGCUAUCAGAACACAUCAUCUGCAGCACUGGGUGCUCCCGAUGUACACAGCAUUUAAAAUGUGUGUGUGUGCGUGCCUCCAGUUCUCCCUAACUUCUUGAGAAGCCAGAGCAUUAAAAAAGUGAAUACAGCACUGAGUACAUACUUUAUAUACACACUGUCUAUUCUUAGUCUGUUUUUACUCAGCUUAAUGACUUUCUGAACUUUGG